UACGUAGGGACCGAGCGUUGUCCGGAAUCAUUGGGCGUAAAGAGCGUGUAGGCGGCUUGUUAAGUCUUGCGUGAAAUCUCGGGGCUCAACCCCCGAGCGGUCGUGAGAAACUGGCAGGCUAGAGUGCGGGAGAGGAGAGUGGAAUUCCUGGUGUAGCGGUGGAAUGCGCAGAUAUCAGGAGGAACACCGGUGGCGAAGGCGGAUCUCUGGGCCAUUACUGACGCUGAGGAGCGAAAGCGUGGGGAGCGAACAGG
rnacentral:rRNA from 1 species